rnacentral:sRNA from 1 species
AUAAAAUUAUUUAAGAAAUGAACUAAUGGAGGAUUUAACACAAUAUGAGACUUUUGAUUUUCUCUCAAUUAAUUUUGCUGAUUUUUAAUUUAAUCAAUGUUAAUUGACACAUGUCAUUUUCUUGUGUGAUGAUGUGUCACCCAUAUGGAGAAAGUUGGCCAACUUUCAUAUAUAUGAUUUACAAGAGUUUUUAAACGGUUUCUUAUAAUUUCUUUUAAAAUCUUUUAAAAACUCUUGUACAUCUUUUAAAACCCUUUAAAAAUCCCUUGUAAAUCUUUUAAAACACUUUUAAAUCCUUUAAAAAUCUUUAAAAAACUCUUGUAAGUCUUUUAAAGCCCUUUAAAAUCCCUUGUAAAUCUUUUAAAACCCUUUUAAAAUCCCUUGUAAAUCUUUUAAACCCUUUUAAAAUCUUUUGUAAAUCUUUUAAAACCCUUUUAAAAUCCCUUGUAAAUAUAUUUCCCGCCAAAAAACAAUUGUUUACGGGAAAAAUGUUUUCGAAAUUUUUUUUUGGCGGGAAAAUUUUGGCGGGAAAUUUUAUUUUGGAAUAUUUUAGGCAAAAAAUAUUAAUAUUUCAUUUUGUUAACCUAAAUCAAUUUACAAAUAGGAAUAAAAGGGUCAUUAAAAAUUUAAAUAGGGUAUAAAUGAAAAUGGUAAAUAGAAAAGGGUAGAAUUGAAAAGGGGUAGUGUGAAAAGGGCAUUAGAAAGAAUUUUUCAUUUUUAAUUAUACUUUCUUCUAAUUUUUAGUGAUCAUUUUAACCCUAUUUGAAAAUGUUUUAGGUUAACAAAAUGAAAUAUUGAUUUUUUCCACCAAAACGGCUUUUUGCCUAAAGAAACUUUCACGCCAAAAAAUUUCCCGCCAAAUUGGUUUUUUCAAAAACAAUUUUCCCCAUAUAACAAAAAAAAUGGCGGAAAAUAUAUUUUUAAAACCUUUGUAAUUCUUUUUAAAACUCUUGUAAAACUUUUUGAAACCUUUUGUAAGGGUUCACAAGAGUUUUAAAAUAU